UACGUAGGGACCAAGCGUUGUUCGGAUUUACUGGGCGUAAAGGGCGCGUAGGCGGCGUGACAAGUCACGUGUGAAAUCUCCGGGCUUAACUCGGAACGGUCAAGUGAUACUGUUGUGCUAGAGUACAGAAGGGGCAAUCGGAAUUCUUGGUGUAGCGGUGAAAUGCGUAGAUAUCAAGAGGAACACCAGAGGCGAAGGCGGAUUGCUGGGCUGAUACUGACGCUGAGGCACGAAAGCGUGGGGAGCAAACAGG
rnacentral:rRNA from 1 species